rnacentral:rRNA from 1 species
UUGAACGCUGGCGGUAUGCUUAAGACAUGCAAGUCGAACGGGGCCCUUCGGGGUUCAGUGGCGGACGGGUGAGUAACACGUGGGAAUCUGCCCAAUAGUGGGGGACAGCCCGGCGAAAGCCGGAUUAAUACCGCAUACGCCCUACGGGGGAAAGGCGCAAGCCGCUAUUGGAUGAGCCCGCGUAAGAUUAGCUAGUUGGUGAGGUAAAGGCCCACCAAGGCAACGAUCUUUAGCUGGUCUGAGAGGAUGGCCAGCCACAUCGGGACUGAGACACGGCCCGGACUCCUACGGGAGGCAGCAGUCGGGAAUAUUGGACAAUGGGCGCAAGCCUGAUCCAGCAAUACCGCGUGUGUGAAGAAGGCCUGCGGGUUGUAAAGCACUUUCAGUGGGGAAGAUAAUGACGUUACCCACAGAAGAAGCACCGGCUAACUCCGU